rnacentral:lncRNA from 1 species
CAACAUCCCUCCAUGGCCUCUGCAUCAGCUCCUGCUUCCAAGUUCCUGCCCUGUGUGAGUUCCUAACCUGACUUCCUUUGGGGAUGAACAGCAGUGUGGAAGUGUCUCAGAAAAACCUAAAGAGAUUUCAGAUCAGCUUGGGCCCUUCCAGGAAAAACUCCAUUCUUUGGCUGUGGUGGCUUCUGAAUUGAAGAGCUCUAGGUCCUGACUGUUGCUAACGGAGGGACCCAUGCCCUUCUCCAGGAACAAUUGUCGUUUCUACAGCAACAAGUCCAAACCGGUUCAAAAUAGGACCUGAAGACUUAUGGACAUAGCUCAAAACAUUUAAUACUGCUGGGCAGUGGUGGCACAUGGCUUUAAUCCCAGC